GGGUGCGUUCUAGAAUUCAUCUUUUUGAGUAGCGAUUCAAUCCAAAUCCAUCCAAGCGUUCCUAGGUCCCGUGAUUCCAUCCAUGUUCCACUCGGGGUGAUGCAUCCAAGCGUUCUUGGAACUCGGAGUGAGUGACUCAUGACGUCAUUACUUGUUCAUCCAAAUGCAUCCGAUCAACCCACCUCGGGAGAUGGAUUUAGCCGUGACUCUCGGUGACUAACCUCAAAAAGUUCAUCUCAUCGUUAGAAUUCCGCCAAAAUUGUUAGCAUUACUUCCAGUUAGUACAGUACAGUGAGUAGAGUUUGUUCCAUUUCUAUUUAUUCCAUUCAUUUUCUAUUCAUUUUAUUCCAUUUCCAUUUCUAACGGUUUAAUAAAUGUCACUGUUUUUGAACUUGUUUUUCAGUAUUAAGCAUAUCAAUUUUCUAAGCCAUGUAGCAGAGGCAAAAAAGAGGGUACAAAAAGCUCAAAACAUUUGGCUCAACAAAAAGGAAGCAAGUCCAUGGUUUCUAGAAAAAAAAAUUCGAUAGUAUAUUUUUACGCUCGACGCUCGUAUCACAACAGGUAACAUGCCAUAACCUCAAACACAAACA